rnacentral:rRNA from 1 species
UACGGAGGGUGCGAGCGUUAAUCGGAAUUACUGGGCGUAAAGCGCACGCAGGCGGCUUGUUAAGCUAGAGGUGAAAGCCCCGCGCUCAACGUGGGAACUGCCUUUAGAACUGGCAGGCUAGAGUCUUGGAGAGGGGAGUGGAAUUCCAGGUGUAGCGGUGAAAUGCGUAGAUAUCUGGAGAACAUCAGUGGCGAAGGCGGCUCCCUGGCCAAAGACUGACGCUAGUGCGAAAGUGUGGGAGCAAACAGGAUUGAG